ACUCCUACGGGAGGCAGCAGUGGGGAAUAUUGCACAAUGGGGAACNAACCUGNAGCCAUGCCGCGUGUGUGAAGAAGGCCUUCGGGUUGUAAAGCACUUUCAGUAGGGAGGAAGGUAGUGUAGUUAACACCUGCACUAUUUGACGUUACCUACAGAAGAAGCACCGGCUAACUCCGUGCCAGCAGCCGCGGUAAUACGGAGGGUGCGAGCGUUAAUCGGAAUUACUGGGCGUAAAGCGCAUGCAGGCGGCCUGUUAAGUCAGAUGUGAAAGCCCGGGGCUUAACCUCGGAAUUGCAUUUGAAACUGGCAGACUAGAGUACUGUAGAGGGGGGUAGAAUUUCAGGUGUAGCGGUGAAAUGCGUAGAGAUCUGAAGGAAUACCGGUGGCGAAGGCGGCCCCUGGACAGAUACUGACACUCAGAUGCGAAAGCGUGGGAGCAAACAGGAUUAGAUACCCUGGUAGACAUCA
rnacentral:rRNA from 1 species